rnacentral:misc_RNA from 1 species
CUGAAACCGGCUUUGAUGUCAUAUAUGAAGUUCAUGAACCAAUCAGAUCUAACUUCCUCCAAGGACAUGAACAAUGAUCUCUCGGUGACUGAAAAAGCAAUCCAAGAUGCUUGCAACAUAUCUUGCGCUUUGGAUGCCUCAAAAGAUGUUCCAGCUAUAAACAAAUGGCUAAUUUCCAAAGUUUCUGUCUUAUUGCUAGACUCUAAGAAAGAAACUUGUUAUCUGUUUUAUUCUCUCGUCACUGACGGGGUCUGGUCUCUCAUAGAGAAAUGUCUUGAGCUUCCCACUGCUGAAAUAGAAGGUAUGGUGG